GCUUUUGAAUCUGUUCAGCACUUCCAUCCUAAAGCAUCAAACUUACAGAUCACCUCAAAGCCUUUUGGAAAUGUCAUCCUAUCUGACCCAUGAGCCCAAGAAUUAUCAAGACAAGGGGAAAAAACUGUUCUCUCUCAAUUAUGAUAGAAAUGCCUAGAGUCUGGGAUCCAUAAUGAUUAUGGACAAAUCCUGCAUGCUGUUGGAAUGUUUGAUUGUCCAGGUGGAUGACAGUUCCUCCAUUCUUGGAAAAGAGGCUAGAAUGUUUACUAACCACUGGCAAGACUUAGAUGCUUCUGUCGAAGACAUCAUCAUAAACAGAGUAUUAGGUAAGAUUUCUGGAUUAAAUCUAGUAACACAGCCAGUGUCACCCAGCACUGAAUUAAUCACUACUCUCUCCAAUGAUAGGUUGUAUCAUUGAAUUGCCUUGAAUGGUGGCAAGGGCACCUCAACCUGAAACACUGCUAGACACAGUCAAAUGUAGCUGCUGAACUGUAC